UACGGAGGGGGCAAGCGUUGUUCGGAAUUAUUGGGCGUAAAGAGUAUGUAGGCGGCUAGAUAAGUCAGACGUGUAAGCCCAUGGCUCAACCAUGGAAUUGCGUUUGAAACUAUUUAGCUUGAGUGCAGGAGAGGAAAGCGGAAUUCCCAGUGUAGCGGUGAAAUGCAUUGAUAUUGGGAAGAACACCGGUGGCGAAGGCGGCUUUCUGGUCUGUUACUGACGCUGAGAUACGAAAGCCAGGGGAGCAAAGGGGAUUAGAUACCCCCGUAGUCCUGGCCGUAAACGAUGGGCACUAGGUGGAGGAGGUAUCGAUCCCUUCUCUGUCGUAGCUAACGCAUUAAGUGCCCCGCCUGG
rnacentral:rRNA from 1 species